rnacentral:pre_miRNA from 1 species
CUCGGGGAAAGUUCUGUGGUCCACUCUGGCUGUGUGAGUGUGUGGUCAGUGCAUUACAGAACUUUGCUUUAGA